rnacentral:rRNA from 1 species
UACGUAGGGUGCGAGCGUUAAUCGGAAUUACUGGGCGUAAAGCGUGCGCAGGCGGUUCGUCGUGUCCGAUGUGAAAGCCCCGGGCUCAACCUGGGAAUGGCAUUGGAAACUGGCGGACUCGAGUGUGGCAGAGGGGGGUGGAAUUCCGCGUGUAGCAGUGAAAUGCGCAGAUAUCAGGAGGAACACCGAUGGCGAAGGCAGGUCUCUGGGCAUUAACUGACGCUGAGGAGCGAAAGCAUGGGGAGCGAACAGG